rnacentral:tRNA from 1 species
GCCCCAGUGGCCUAAUGGAUAAGGCACUGGUCUCCUAAGCCAGGGAUUGUGGGUUCAAGUCCCAUCUGGACUG